GGGGCUGAUUCUGGAUUCGACGGGAUUUGCGAAACCCAAGGUGCAUGCCGAGGGGCGGUUGGCCUCGUAAAAAGCCGCAAAAAAUAGUCGCAAACGACGAAAACUACGCUUUAGCAGCUUAAUAACCUGCUUAGAGCCCUCUCUCCCUAGCCUCCGCUCUUAGGACGGGGAUCAAGAGAGGUCAAACCCAAAAGAGAUCGCGUGGAAGCCCUGCCUGGGGUUGAAGCGUUAAAACUUAAUCAGGCUAGUUUGUUAGUGGCGUGUCCGUCCGCAGCUGGCAAGCGAAUAUAAAGACUGACUAAGCAUGUAGUACCGAGGAUGUAGAAAUUUCGGACGCGGGUUCAACUCCCGCCAGCUCCACCA
rnacentral:tmRNA from 1 species